GACCGGGUGGCAGAAUGGUUAUGCACUUUCCUGGCACGGAUGGGCAUGUCGGUUCGAUUCCGACCCCGGUCU
rnacentral:tRNA from 1 species